CUGCUACUUUUAAAAACAUCUUUGACAACAUAGACAAAGUAAGGCUCAAAUACAUUGCUAUAAUCCCGCUCCCCUCACCUCAACUCUCAUUACAAGUAUAUUAAUAUGGACAGGUCUAGCAGUUGGAGCCUAUUUCGGAAACCUGCAUUUGGAGACUUCCCACAGUCGCUGCCAACACUUGCCAACAAUUUCAGAGAAAUGAGUGGGCAUCUGGCUAUGCAUGCAAUGAACGCAUUAGGGACUUCAGCGUGCAGCUCCGACCAGCCUCAGAUAUAUUGACAGUGACAGCCUUCAACAACUUCUCCCUCCCUUACCUCACAUUAUGUCACGCAAUAAUAAGAUGGAAAAGUCCAGCUUUUCUUCUUGGUGCCUGUUGGAGAUGGUGGUGGUGCAGCAUGCCCAUCCCUGGGCCACCUGCUGGGCUGUGGUUCUGUGCGUAAAAGAGGAGGGGAGUCUGACAGUGAGUCAGUGUGGUGUCACCGUGCAGGAGGAGCUGCUUUUCCCAGACAUCAGCACUAUAACAGUCCCAGCAGAGCGCACCACACCACUACACUACAAUCUGCAUCUGCACGAGCGCACAGCGUUCGCUUCACGAGCACCAACUAACAGAAGAACACGGCAACACGGAUUCAGUACUUCAGAGCUUUUGGACUACUGGACGCAGAGACGCACGCAUAAGGGAGAAUCAACUGACUGGCAUCAUCUCUAUUACCAUGCACCUUAAGAGCCUCUUGCUGGAGCCGUGCCCAACUCUAUGAGACUGAAAGUGACCUGUCCUUCGGCCAAAAAUAACGGUCUCAGCUCCUGCCAAAAUGCUUUUAGUUCCGGUUUUAUUAUUCAACAAUAAGCAUGUUAUCUCUUUUCCGCCUGUAGCCUGACAGGAUUGCACAGUGGGCGGAAUUCAAAAGCAGCUCCGCGCUGUAGAUUUGGACCAUGACUUGGACGAUUUGCAUCACUACAUGUCAAGAAAAUGUUCCUUCAAUCAUGCGGACGGCUUCACAUUUGAGGACAGACGAGAAGUCAUUAACACGGCAAUAAAAAAGCAAACAACUCCUUGUGGAAUUUCA
rnacentral:lncRNA from 1 species